AGGGUCUUGCACACCAUUGUUCGGGGUUCUCUCUCCUGUGUGUGGUGAGUGGGGAUCCUGUUGUAAUAGUUUAUUUCCUUUAAUAAAGAUCAGGUUUACUAGCCGUUUUGCUUUCAGUAUACAGUGGUACCUCGGGUUAAGUACUUAAUUCGUUCCGGAGGUUCGUUCUUAACCUGAAACUGUUCUUAACCUGAGGUACCACUUUAGCUAAUGGGGCCUCCUGCUGCCGCUGCGCCACCGGAGCACGAUUUCUGUUCUCAUCUUGAAGCAAAGUUCUUAACCUGAAGGACUACUUCUGGGUUAGCGGAGUCUGUAAUCUGAAGCGUCUGUAACCUGAAGCGUAUGUAACCCGAGGUACCACUGUACUCUGGCUGGCCUCUGCUUUAUCUCCAUCUGAUAGAGAUCUCCUGAGGGACUCUGUAUGGGCUCUGGAUACCCCAUAACGGAGUUAGAGGUAGUUUUCUUAUAACACUUUAUGCUCAGAAUUGUCGUUUUGUCCCGGUUACAUCCUGCCGCCCGGGACUUAUCUUGCCUAAUCAUUUCCCUCUCUCUUUAUGCUCUUAGCUGAUGUCACCAUUGCUCAUCCUGGCCAAUAGGUGGCGUAAUAGACAUCUGCCCACAAUGGCCAGGGGGACUGGCUGUCUCAGGUAGCAGAUGCUGGUUGGUGGUGAGCCAUAGUGAGGUAUUGCAGGACAAAGCCUCUCCUCCUCCCAGAGGGGAGGGGUUGUGAGCGGGAGCAGCCUCCUGAGGGGGCCCCCCUGAUUGGUUCUGCUGCCGCAGCCAAGCCUCCCAGCCAACCAAUAGGAUCAGCUGGUGGGCGGGGCUAAAUGCGCUUAAACAGCCACGGCAGCCCACUUCUCUCAUUCUGUUCCUGCUUCCUUCGGAUAUGGGUAUUCCGUUAGAGGAAUCCGGCGGUUGUGGAUCCUGUCCGAUGCCCUGCUAGUGGCUAUGGCCAUGGCAUGGCCCCCGGUGACAUCAUGGGGUUGCUUCCAGUUGUAUUUGCAUUAACAAGCUCCUCCCAUUGGUUGUUAACCCUGAUAUGAAUCCCGGCUGAGCGGGGUGGAGUCUUGUAUUGCUGUUUCAUCCAAUGCCUAAGCCAAUACUACUCACAUGCUGUAACCAAUGAAAGUUGUGGCCUAAUUUUGCCCAUUAACCUAAAAUAACGUGUCUGUGUGUCUUAUUAUAAUCCUAUGCAGGUGGAGGGUCCUUGACUCACAAAGCUUUAUGCACUGCAUGACCUGUCAUGCGCCUCCUAAGCUAGCUUGCUGCCCUCAUGUGCUGUGGAGAUCACCGGUCCAUUUGCCAGUGUUGAAGUGAGAAUCAGCCAACAGCCUGGCCGGCUUCUGUAAAUAGAGCCAGAGUGGUUGCACCAAGUUUUCCUUCACCUUGAGCGUUCUGCCAAGACUCUCCACAUUUUUUCAAGUAUUCUGAGAGUUUCACUCAGGCAUCUUCCGUUUUCAUGCUCAUUCUUCUCUGCGGCCGACCUUUAUUUGCAGGAGAAGGUGCUAGAAAGAAAGGGCAGACAUCUGGAGUACACAUGUGUGGAGCUGUCAAGACCUUGAAAGCUGAAGAAUACCCUUCAACCACCUCCUUUCAUUCUCCCCUGUUUCCCUCUGGAAUUAUCUUGCUUGUCUCAUUCUCCAUAGCAGACUUCAGAUAACAUGUCAUCCAGGCCCGGGAAGGGUUCUCAAAAAAAGAAGAAGAGAGGAUGCACCUUAGCUAAAUGGUCCACAGUCACCACACAUCACUAAAAUACCUACAUUGUUCCUAGUAAUAAUUUCACCCUAAUGAGAAAGCUCAUUGCUAAACCCUCUGAAAUAUACUCAGAGUCAAGUAG